GGGCCUUCAAAUAUGGGAGAUUACGGAUGCGCUACAAGCACCAACACAUUUGUCACAUUCCUCUCACAUUUUGUUUAUUGGUCAUCCUAUGAAGACCGCUGAUUCUACAUGGAUUUGGUGUUUCAGAAGAAGUUGGACAUCGUUUUUGAUAUAUAGUAACAAAUCACACCUCGUCUUUGAUUGUGUGAAGCUUUUAAUGCCUUCUGAGUCCUGAUUAACACCAUGGCACGAAAUACGACGCGUAACAGGCCCUUUACAGUACAGCAUCACUGCUUUGCUUUUUACAUUAAAACAUAUAUACAUCUCUGCUUGUGUGGUUGCACUAUUCGUCCGUCGAAAUACAACUUCAGAUGCGAAUAGUUUUUGCAACAUGCAUUAUGGCUCCAUGCGCAAUACUCCUGCUAAUCCCGUGGAUCCGCUGCUCUCCUAAACAACAUUAUAUUGCUUUUCUCUGCAUUUUUUCACGAUGUCGUUUAUGACUCCUUCAACACCAUCUUCCCUUGAGUCACCGUCUCUCACGCGAGGGAGUAAAAUUGUCAAUUUUAUAGAUGCCGCUUGGUUUUAUUUCUAUAACACAUUUGUUUCCACGAGACCACGCCUUACUCUAAGGUUUCACACUUGUGGACCCUCCCCAAAUGGACUCAGUAGCCAAUUACCUCGCUCCGUUUCCGCCCAUUUCACAAGAGUUGAUUCUAUGGAAUACUAUUGUCAUGCAAAUAAAGGACGCGUAAAAUAUCCCCGUCGCGCGCACUGCAGAGCAGAGACUCACUGGGAUCGCACGAAGGACGCGAAGCACGGGGCACGCGGGGGAAUUUCAUACUACGUCGUCGCCAGGACCCGUCCAAUUGUCACAGCCACCCUUGCCAGAUGAACUGAGGCGGCUCCAGGAUCCUGCAGGCAAGAGGGGAAAAUCACAAGAAGAACCAACCUGCCCAGAUUCAACUGCAUUUUAUUCACCUUGUUUGGAGAUAACGAUACCGUGGCCCUUCUUCCAGAAUACCUACAGAAGAAAAGUUUCAACAGUCGCUCUGCUCCAUCUCUGCUCCAUAGCAUAUACUACCUGUUGCUGCUAGUAACGAAGGAGGGGAAGAGAGGGAGACGACACCUUGCGACACUUGGAUCUCUUAUAAACACACUUUGUAGGGAGUUGGAUUUCGCAACCUUUAAUCUUUUGCACACCAAGUGUGUUAUUUUGUCUAUGUCCAUUUUGGGAUAUUAGUGGUUUUAUCAUAUCUAUAGUAUACACGUUUUUAAAGUGCCUUACGACUGAUAUUAAUCCAGUAUUUGGGCAGUAUUCCAACACCAGAGACUCAACCAGUGACUAUCACAUAGAAAGGCACAGGAUCUGUCUCUAAAUCCCGGUUUCACCAUGAGUCAAGGGAAUGUAUCAACUUGCUCUGCGCCUCAGAUCGUUUUCCAAGAGGCGGUGAAGCAAGGCAACACAAAGGAACUUCACUCGUUGCUCCAGAACAUGACAAACUGCGAAUUCAAUGUCAACUCCUUCGGGCCCGAAGGACAGACGGCGUUGCAUCAGUCAGUCAUCGACGGGAAUCUCGAACUUGUAAAACUGCUGGUGAAAUUUGGAGCCGAUAUAAGAUUGGCGAACAGGGAAGGGUGGAGUGCCUUACACAUUGCCGCUUUUGGAGGACACCAAGACAUAGUCCUAUACCUCAUCACUAAGGCAAAGUACUCCUCUGGUGCACGGUGAUCUGCUACACUGCUGUCAGGUAAACACACGGAAAGCCAGGCUCUUGUAAAUUAGCGUUUCGAUCUAUAGUUGUGCCAAAUUAUAGCCUACAAAACACAGUAACUUCCCUUUCAUCAAAACCAAACGGGGGUCUCACUCGUGAGUCGAACACCACAUGGUUCUUGUAUCCGCUUCAGCAUAAAAAAAAACGCCAUUUUGGUGGGUUGGUACUAAAGCUUUUUCCUUGAACGUGUAUAAUAGAUUGGGACGUAUAAAAUAACUAAGCCAGUGUUUGGGUCCCGAGACCUGAUAGCAGCCUAGUUUUACGCAGCGAUAGACUUUCUAUAUUUUUUGUCGCGGUUACAUUGAAACACUUCUUUAUUGGGCUUCGUAUUGAGGUGUCGACCUGUAGCUGCGGUGGUCACUUGUAGGACCCUUUUAAAUGAUUUUCUAUACUAAAAGAUGGCACUUGUUGCUGUGGCUGCAUGCUGGAAUAUAUGAAAGGGAAGAAAAGGUGAACACGGGAAAUGAAGGCCAUCCUGUAUUUGGCUAUAAUGUCUUUUUUAAAUUAUAGGAUUUGAUCUAUUUCAAAGAGCAGCAUUAUUAGGACUAUAUAUAUAUACCCAACUGGCAUUUCCAGAUGUGUAAUCAUUGUAACAACUAUUGACUUAAUGUUGUUAAGUACUUUACACAAUAGCUUUACUUUGUUUCUUUAUAAUAAAAGUAGCUAAAUGCGCCCUGCCUUCUUCGAGCAGGCUGCUGGCAUGUAUCAAUGUCUUUUCAGGCCAGUGCGACCGCAGUGUCAAUGGUUAAUGUGAUAUAAACCGCUGCUUUCGCUUUGUAUCAAAACGUCAGGAAAGUGGCAUUUGGAAUUCACUUUAAUCUCCUUUCAGUAUUUUAACGAACAGCACCCUGGUCAUCAGUGUGAAUACAGGCUGGGUUCUAUUUAUGAAGGUACAUUGACAAGAUGCAUUUUGAAUAUUCUGUGGUUAUUCUUAUCAAAUCUGUUACGUUUAAGAAUAUUUAGGGUGACUUAUAAAGCUGCUUCAGACUCUAUGCUUAUCAUAGUAUAAACUAUCCUGUGUGGAGACCCCAUGUCACAAUAAGCCUAAAUUUGACCUACCUAAAGAGAGACUCUUCUUUGUCCCUCAUUAACUUGUUGUUUGGUUUUCUUUGCCAACUACCUCGACUGUAAAGUAUUCAAAAACAUUGGACUCUUGCUCACUCCACAACACUCCAGUAUGGGGAGUCCCACACAUCCUCUAGCACAGUGGUUCCCAACCGUUUCAGGUUACUGUACCUGAAGUACCCCCUGUGGAUAGGCCAAGAACACCCAGGGGUCCUAGUACCCCUGGGUGGGGACCGCUGAUCUAGCCUAUCCCCAAGCCUGUCUAUAGGCCAAAAUAAUGCUCAUACCCACACAGACAUUUUAACUAAGUUAUUUUAGCAGUAGGCCCCAAGCCAAUGUUAUUCAACCCAGUGAUAUAGGCUAGGAGACAACUAUGGUGUUUCUUCUGCAAAGCAAUAAUGUCUAUUUCAUAUUAAUCAAGCCUGUUUCUUAUCAUCAUCUGGUAUUCAUUUAUUUCCCACACUACAACCAAACUUUAAUCUGACAAGCAAAGCGUUUUUUUUGCCUUUCUGUAAAGGUAUGGUUGCAAACACACAUUGCCUAUUUUUUUAUUUUUUUUAUUUUUAUGCAUUAUAUAGUCAUUCUGUUUGAAGUUUCUAUUUAGUCACAAAAAUUGCAUUUUAUUGCCUGACUUAUAAAUGCAGGAAGUUUUAUUGCACAAAAUGCAGAGCCUUUUACGCCCCCUGGUGCCUGUCCGGGUGACUGCAGGAGUUGAGGCUCAGAAAUAGUUACUACUGAGCAGUAAAAACAUUUUAUUACUGUCAUGUUAUGAUGACUAACAUCUACAUGACUAUUGCAGGAUAUAUAUAUAUAAUAAAACAAAUGGUUUAAACUGCCUGCUGCAUUUUGAAAGUCAUGGCACCCUAAUGUUUGUUUCAAUGCUGCUUGUAUGUUUUAUAUUUGAUUUUACUCAAUGGCCAACAGUAAGUGAAAGACAAAUAUCUGAUAGCAUCACAGUCAUUCAAUGAAAAUCCCUGUGUGUGUGUGUGCACAUGCGUGCAUGAAUGAAUGUAUGUGUAUAUAUGUCUGUGUGUGCUGCAUUCAUCUGACUGUUGUUUGCUGAGUGAGUUGAGCUGUGUUCCCCUUCCCUGGCCUGUGUGUGGCCUGCUCCUCUCCUCGAGUGUGUGGCCUGCUCCUCUCCUCGAGUGUGUGGCCUGCUCCUCUCCUCGAGUGUGUGGCCUGCUCCUCUCCUCGAGUGUGUGGCCUGCUCCUCUCCUCGAGUGUGUGGCCUGCUCCUCUCCUCGAGUGUGUGGCCUGCUCCUCUCCUCGAGUGUGUGGCCUGCUCCUCUCCUCGAGUGUGUGGCUUUAUGUUUGCAACUGGGGGUUUUCCCUCCCUACAAUAAGGAGAGACACAAGGGAUUAAGGACUGUCCUUCCAUGUACCUGGAAAAGCAAACUAAAGCGAUUAGAAAGAAACAUCAAGAAUAGAUUGUUAUUAGCGGAACAAAAAAAAUAUGCAUCGCUUGUCUUAAACCUGAUAUUUUUUAUAUAUAUGUAUGUAUAUAUAUAUAUUUUAAAUAUUGCACUGACUGUUGUUGAUUAAGUUGGCUUUUUAUCAAGUCAAAUUGUAUUGUUUUUCCGAAUAGAAAAAAAAAAGGAACACAACAAAAUACUAUUGUAUAAAAACAACUCCAGGCUGUAAUGUUUUGUGUGUUAACUUUGUGAAACAUUGUGUUAAGGCAAAGAUUGUUUGAAUCUUUGUGAUCGGGUAUGUGUUUAUAUACAGUACCAGUCAAAGGUUUGGACAACACCACUCAUUCAAGGGUAGGUGUAAAAAACAUAAUAAAGAAAACCACUGGAAUGAGUAGGCGUGUCCAAACCUUUGACUGGUACUGUAUAUAUAUAAUAUGCUGAAAUAUCUUGGAGCACUUUCUUUUCUGAAGUGCUGCCUCCCUCCUGUUGUUAUGAAAGGGGAAAAAUACAUUUGAUGGUAAGAUCAUUGUUACAAAAAAAAUUGCACAGCAUAUGGUUGUUCUACUCAAGUGUCAUAACAUUUAUGGCCCGAGAGAGGACGACUGGAUAGGUGUAAAUGAAUGAGAGAAAGUGCUGACGUUUUUUAAUUUUUUUGGGGGGGGGGCAUGUUCUGUUUUCAUUUUGCUUUUUUUCGAGCGAAACAAAAACAAAUGUCUGAGUUUAAUGAUUGAUGCUGAAGUUCCAUGGUGUUUUCAUUUUGGGUUUUCUUGUUUUUGUUCUGUAUUUUGUUUUUGAACGUUUGUAACACUGUGAUCAUGAUGUGUGUUGAGAAAAUGAGUGCUGUAAUAUUUUUGUACGUUUGUGUACAAGCCAGUAAAAAAAAUCUUUAAACUCUGUGUGUCUAUGCAUGUUUGUUUUUCCCUACCCCCAGGCAGUCCCAGCCCCCAUUACCCAUAGAGAAGAAUGGUGACGGGCACAGACCCCUUCCCGUUCUCCCAGGCUAGCCCAGAUCCCC
rnacentral:lncRNA from 1 species